CCUACGGGUGGCAGCAGUUAGGAAUAUUGGUCACUGGGCGAGAGCCUGAACCAGCCAAGUCGCGUGAAGGAUGAAGGAUCUCUGGUUUGUAAACUUCUUUUAUAUGGGAAUAAAGUGAGGAACGUGUUCCUUUUUGUGUGUACCAUAUGUAUAUGCAUCGGCUAACUCCGGUCCAGCAGCCGCGAUAAUACGGAGGAUUCGAGCGUUAUCCGGAUUGAUUGGGUUUAAAGGGUGCGUAGGUGGUAAAUUAAGUUAGACGUGAAAGUUUGGGGCUCAACCAUAGAAUUGCCGUUGAAACUGGUCGACUUGAGUAUAGUUGAGGUAGACGGAAUGCGUGGUGUAGCGGUGAAAUGCAUAGAUAUCACGCAGAACUCCGAUUGCGAAGGCAGCUUACUAAACUAUAACUGACACUGAAGCACGAAAGCGUGGGGAUCAAACAGGAUUAGAUACCCUAGUAGUC
rnacentral:rRNA from 1 species